GAUGAACGCUGGCGGCGUGCCUAAUACAUGCAAGUCGAGCGAACAGAUGAGGAGCUUGCUCCUCUGACGUUAGCGGCGGACGGGUGAGUAACACGUGGAUAACCUACCUAUAAGACUGGGAUAACUUCGGGAAACCGGAGCUAAUACCGGAUAAUAUAUUGAACCGCAUGGUUCAAUAGUGAAAGACGGUUUUGCUGUCACUUAUAGAUGGAUCCGCGCCGCAUUAGCUAGUUGGUAAGGUAACGGCUUACCAAGGCAACGAUGCGUAGCCGACCUGAGAGGGUGAUCGGCCACACUGGAACUGAGACACGGUCCAGACUCCGACGGGAGGCAGCAGUAGGGAAUCUUCCGCAAUGGGCGAAAGCCUGACGGAGCAACGCCGCGUGAGUGAUGAAGGUCUUCGGAUCGUAAAACUCUGUUAUUAGGGAAGAACAAAUGUGUAAGUAACUAUGCACGUCUUGACGGUACCGAAGCAGAAAGCCACGGCUAACUACGU
rnacentral:rRNA from 1 species